CCUACGGGAGGCAGCAGUGAGGAAUAUUGGUCAAUGGGCGCGAGCCUGAACCAGCCAAGUAGCGUGAAGGAUGACUGCCCUACGGGUUGUAAACUUCUUUUAUAAGGGAAUAAAGUGAGGCACGUGUGCCUUUUUGUAUGUACUUUAUGAAUAAGGAUCGGCUAACUCCGUGCCAGCAGCCGCGGUAAUACGGAGGAUCCGAGCGUUAUCCGGAUUUAUUGGGUUUAAAGGGAGCGUAGAUGGGUUGGUAAGUCAGUUGUGAAAGUUUGCGGCUCAACCGGAAAAUUGCAAUUGAUACUGGCAGGCUUGAGUGCAGUAGAGGUAGGUGGAAUUCGUGGUGUAGCGGUGAAAUGCGUAGAUAUCACGAAGAACUCCGAUUGCGAAGGCAGCUUACUAAACUGCAACUGACAUUGAUGCUCGAAAGUGUGGGGAGCAAACAGGAUUAGAUACCCGGGUAGUC
rnacentral:rRNA from 1 species